GACAAAACCAGCCUGGGAAAGUACAUUUUCACUUCUAACUUCAAGGACAAUGCUCCUGAGAGUGUUGGAGAAGGUAACUCUUUUGUUCUGUAUAUUUCACUUCCUGUCCCCUGAAAUUAGCUUACUGAACCCAAAAUUUUGUACAUCAUAGCACCCCUCCCAACAAGGAGGCUGGAUGAGAAGGGGUGGGGGGAAUCUUGCAUCAGGAUUACUAUAAAAAUGCCCAUUUUUCAUUUAGAAGCUACAGAUUGUCAUUAGGGCAGUCUGCCAUUCAUUUUGCUAUUAGAACAUUUUGCCAGUUAGGGCAGAUUGCCAUUAAGGCCUUAUCACACUGGCAAAUUUCCAUUAUGGGAAUCUUCUACCUUUUCUGGAAGGAGAAUCAAGACUGCUGUUUUUUCGCUGAUAGUGGACGAUUUUUUCAGGCCGAGGCUCAAUCUCAUCCCACUUGGUUUGAGGGCAUGUGCUGGGAUUUUGGAAUGCUAGAGGGUUCUCAGUUCUCUCUUUUGGGAGGCAAUACUGAUCAGCCAGUAUUUUGGUUGCCUCUACAGAGAAGGAGAUCACUGAGAUUUUCUGACAGCUUCGACCCUGGGAAGAAGGAUAAAGAGAGAAUGCAAGUGAAACUGCAGGGAGAUUUGAAGCACAGAAAGCUGAAGCAGCAAAAGGAGUAUGACAAAAAUCUGCCAGAGUUCCCUGAAGCUUCCUUUCCCUUGGGUAAUCCAUCAGUGGGAGCUUUUUCAGAGUCACCCUUCUCAUGACAUAACACCAAAGGCCUUUAGGUUUUGAAGGCCACUUCAGGGGAAGGAUUUAUUUUAUCUUCUAAUGCAAGAUUUUGGGUAAACAAUUUAGUACUUGUGUUUAACAAUGAAUAAAGUUUAUAAAAUUAUCUAGUUUUAAGAGGCA
rnacentral:lncRNA from 1 species